AAGGCUGUACACUGGCCUAUAGUUGGUAACUUCUAUGUCAUUUGGUCUAUUGUGGAGAGUUGUCUGAUUGGAAAUCAUACCACAUCUUCUUUUUUUUAUAUAACAAUGUGACAAACUGAUUUUUUUUGUUAAAAAGAAGGAAAAUUUAAACGAAAACUAUGUAAGUUGGCGAAAAAAAAAAUUGAAAGUGGUGAAAAAAUAAAACUGCAUAAAUUUACCAAUGCAAGGAAAUACAGGGCUUCCCACUCACACUUCAAUGCACCCUACCCUUUGUAUUCGCUUUUCCAAUGCCCUCUUCUCACAUUUCUUACAAAAUUGAAAGUGGCGAAAAAUAACUUGUUUUGGCGAAAGAGGUGGCGUAAAAGAAAAUGGACCCAAGGGAAACCUUGGUCAUUGGCCACAUUUUUUAAAACUAAAUACCCCAAUAAUGAUUGUGGUAAAGUUUGGUUAAAUUUGGCCCAGUGGUUUCAGAGGACAAGAUUUUUGUAAAAGUUAAUGGACGACAAUGGACGACAAAUGAUGAGAUAAUCUCUCUUGGCCUUUUGGCUAGAUCAACAGACAAUGGACCCAAAGUGAUGACAGAUCUCACAUGGCCUUUUAGAUCUGCUGAGAUACAACUUUUAUUUUUUAGACAUGAUAAGAAUUUGUUGCAAAACAAAUAAUCAGUCUGUGUCACGGUCACAUCUUUCCUAUAUCUAAAGACUUGAUAGAUAACUGUAUUAUACAUGGAAUGUAUAUCAAUGUAAUUAGUUCUUUUAAAUACCACAUAUCAUGCAUAUCUUGUAAUUAGACAGUACCCAAACAUCACAACAAAUCCAAACAAGAAAUAUAGGGUUUGUAAUGUUCAAAAAAAUAUAUAAAGAAAUACAUAUACAAAGAAAAACAUUAACCAACAUAUCAAUAAAAAUAAAAUGGUAGUCCAUAUGUGUGAAUAGUGUAACAAGGUCAUACAAUCAGUAAAAUAUGUAACCUUUGAUAAUAAUAUGAGCAUUAAAUAAGACAAAAACUGAUCUGACCUGACUCAUCAAGUAGAAAGAAAAGCCACUUUAGAAAACAAUGAAGAAAAUAAAAGUAAUGAUAUAAUUACAAUGUUUACUGAAAAUUGUACAGUUGUUUUCAUUGGCAUCCACAGAGUAGUUUUGUAGGUCCUUCUGUUCCAGGUGAUAAAACCAAGAUAUAUUCCAUGCAGUGGGAAUCAAAGUAGAGACAAUUUAAUGGAAAGAAUAGUAUAUAUUAGCACACAAUUUUAUUUCGGGGCCAGCUGAGGACCACCUCCGGGUGCGGGAUUUUCUAUCUGCAUUGAAGACCCAUUGGUGGCCUUCGGCUGUUGUCUGCUCUUUAGUCGGUUUGUUGUCUCUUUAACAUAUUCCCUAUUUCCAUUCCCAAUUUUAUUU